AAGAGGGGAAGCAAGAGAAAAGACAGGUCUUUUGUACAGAAGAGAUGAUGGAGGAAUAAAUGUAGGUAGCUGAACUCCCUCCCUUCCCCAAUUCAGGCAGCUGAUCCUCUGGGAUCCACUAUCGGAGGAUUUGUAUCUUAGAAUAGCUUACAAAUUAGGAUGCUGCACCCAACGAUUGUGUUACCUGCUGAUUCUAAACUCAGUUUGUGUGGUAUUUUCCUUCAGACAGUGACUCAACUGGGUUCCAGAGAGAAAGGUACUGCAUCAAAGCGUGGGGUUGUGAGAAGUGCACCCCAAAUAACAGUGGUAAUUUGGAAGCAUGUGGCUGGCGUGGCAGCAACCUGCCAGGGGAACUUGUGGGUGGGGAGAUUUCAGAGCUCUGAGUCAGAGACUCUGUCAGGAUGAGAACAGGUUGGCCAGUCUGCCGGGUAGCGUGGGAUUCAUAUUUUUUACUUCAAGCUACAAGAGUUUAGGUGUAUUUUAUACUUUAUGGUUUACAAAAUGGUAAUAGUUGUGUUCCAUUUAUAUUUGAGAGGAAAGAGCCUUUUAACUGGACAAAAGGGAAAAUGUCGAUUACUAUCUAUAUGCAUGUGAGGGCAGUCACGAGAUAAGGCAAGAACCUGUGAUUGGGCAGUGGAAAAGGAAGGCGGGCUGAGAGUUUUAGAGACCAGUACAGAGAGACAGGACGAGACCAAGAGGAGAAGAUCAGAGGGAACCUAUAGGAGAGGAAGAGGAGUCAGAAACACAGUUCUGGGAGUCAGAAGUAUUGGGGAUUUCUUAGAUGAUUAAAUAAUAAUUAGCCCCAUCUAGGUGUGCACUUUUGAUUUUACCUGGUUAGGGAGAUUUGUGACAGCUAACCACAGGAAGCAGAUAGCUGGGAAUGUGAGCUCAAUAUGCAGGGCCAAAGAGCAGCCGGCUUUAGCGUGGGAUGGUGCCUUCUUAUAUUUCAUGCAACAACAGACCACAGAGUAUUGUCCACUCUCUUACCCCUCAGGAAUUGUAAAGUCAUAGUGAUUCAUUACAGUCUCAGACAACCUCAAUGACAAAGGUCUCGCCACCAUUACUGACUUACCAUUUCAGACAACAACAUUCUACAGGGUUCCUGGGUGAAUGGGCAUUUCUGGAUCGGUCUGAGGAAAAACUUUAAUUUGCUGUUGUUUGGUGUCAGCAAUAUAAGGAGGAGGGCUGGCUGAGUUGAGUGACGUGCUUGUUCUCAGAAUGCUGUCAGAAUAAGUGGACCUUGAUCCUCCUAAUCCCUAGAAGGGGUGAGGGUAGAACAUGGCCAUGGACAAGCUAUGUGACUUGAGACUUCAUUAUAUCAUAAAAUGAAGAUGGCGGGCAACACCUUGUCUCCAGUUUGUUUUAGGAACAAAAACAACAGAUGAUCAAUGUCCCACGAUAGGGGCUCAAUAUGUAAGGUCGGAUCCAUCAUUGCACAAUGAAGGGCUGUGCCCUUCACACCUCAGUCUUCUGAGCUUCCUCCUGCCAAGGUCACCCAUGAGCUUCUUGUUCUGAGGGCUCAUGACCUGCCUCUUGCCUGGGCCUCAGCAUAAACUGAAUUUACCAUCCUCCUAAGAAGCUUCCUCAGAGUUUCUGUCUUUAUAUUCCCAUAUAGCUUCCUGUUCCCCUGGCUACUGGACUUAUCUACACACAUCUUCUCCCUGUGUUCAUAUCUUCUCUCCCUCACUACUGGUGCCUGGGGCUUUGCUCAUGUAGGUCACUGCCUGAAUUAUUCUCCAACUCAUUGCUACCUGUUUCUUCUUCCCUGGCACGCCAUCCCCCACAUCCUUUUACUUCAUAGCAUUUCUUACAGAUGUGACCUUGUGACUUGUUUGUUUGCCUAAUGUUUGUCUUGUUUUAACCACAGGACCAGGGCAUGGAGGAUAUGAACAAUGCAUAUAUUCACGCAUAUAUGAGUACAUGUGUGAGCCCACGCACAAGCACAUAUGUGCUUAAUUGUCACCUCCAAAGGAGUAAGGGCAAAGAAUUUGUUGAUAAAGGGAGUGAUUCAUGCUAUGCAGAUGAGGAAAUGGUGUGUUAGAAAAUAUUAGGUCAUAUGCACUCAUAUUAAAAACAUAGCAUGAAGAGUUCAUAUAUAAGACCUGCAUAUGAACCUCUACAAGAAUAUGUGCAGAACCAGCAUGCCAAGAUGGAGACAGCCUUGAAAUCUGUCUCAGGUAGCAAUGUUAGGAUUCACUUGUUAAGUUAGUUAAUCUGCAUAUGCAUGUAUGUGCUUGUGCAUGUGUUCAUACAUAUACUCAUACAUGUGAAUAUUUGCACGUGUGAGCUCAAGCAUGUUUGUGUUUCUGUGGGUGUGUGGGCAUGUGUGUACUUGACGUGUGUAUGCUCGUGUGUGUGUGUGUGUGUGUGUGUAUAUAUAUAUAUAUAUAUAUGCAUGCAUAUGCUCAAGUAUGUGAGUGCAUGUUUGUGAGCAUGUGUAUGUGUGCACGAACAAAGCACAAAGCCAGUAGAUGCAACAUGUGACAUUUUCUUUUGUCAGAACCAUGCAGUUGGUGGUGAAACACUGAAUGUUCUGAAGCAAUGUAGAUGGCUUCUCAUCACAUCUGUGUGGACCAUGUCAUGGAGCUGAGAUGAAGUGUUGCUAAGGUUGAGAAUCGGCUAAUUUAUGCAUACCACUUAACUACUUGUUUUACCAGCAACAGUGCUUGCUUCUUUCAAAAUAAGAGUUCCAAGCAAAGUUUUAAUUAACUUUAUAUCACUGCGAGAAUAAACACACAUAAUGUUUCCGGAUUGGAUUUAUGCUACAUUAGAGUGUCCACGAAGCCAUUGAGAAGCCUUUCUUUCUUAGCUUUAUUCAGUGUCUGGCAAACUGUAACAUCUCCUAAUUAAGAAGACUGCUGCAUAUGGCUUCACUGAAAGUUAGAAGGUUUGGAACUCCAGCUGCAUUCUGGGAUGCCAGUCGGGUGGUCUGUGCUCCCAUCUGUGUGCCUGCUGGGGAAGCCAGAUCCCUGUGGCACCAUGUCUCGUGAUUAGGGUCCUUUGUCACUGAGAUAAAAGUCAGGUUUAUGUGAUCAGCCAUUACAUCAAAACAGUUCAUCCGUAGUGUGUGUGUGUGCGUUUAGGUAUGGGUGAAUGUGCAAGUUUGAAGAAUAUGUGUGAAUAUGGGCAUAGGUGUUCAGAGGUCAACAUUCAGGAGCCUUACACUUCAAUAUUUUUAGGAUUUAUCUUUAUAUUAAAAUUACAUACAUGCAUAUGUGUUAUUGUGUAUGGGGUUGGGGGUAUAUGGCCAUGAAUGUAAAGGUCAGGGCAUAGAAUCCUCCAGAGCUGGAGUUACAGGCAUUUGUGAGGUAGCCAACAUGAUUGAUCUAAGUGAACCCUAGUCUUUUGCCAGAGCAGUACACACACCUAAUGGUCAACUCCUCAGUUUUUGAGACAAAAUCUCUCACUGGUUUGGAGAUCACCAAGUAGGUGAGGCUGGCUUGCCAAUGAGCCCAGGGUUCUGCCUGUCUCCACAGCCCCAGGGCUGGAAUUCUGCCAUUCGACACCCUGAUUGGCUUUUGGCAUACAGGUGGCAUAUGACCUCAGUUCCUCCUACUUGGACAUCAAGAAAUCUACUGACUGAGCAAUAUCACCCCUUAUUUAAAGAGUGAAUCGCAUAAUACUGGGGCUGGAGAGAUGGCUCGGUGCUUCAGUGCAGUGGCUUCUCUUCCGUAGAAUCUUGGUUCAAUUACAGCAUCCACAUGGCAGUUCACAACAGUCUGUAACUUCAGUUCCAGGAACUCUGAGGGCACUGCAUGCAUGUGAUGUACAUAGAUUCAUGAAUGCAAACACCCAUAAAGAACAACAAACAAAUCUUUUUAAAAAACAUAGAACAUCACAUUAACAAUCUAUAGCGUACUGGGUCCAGGUCACCAGUGGAACAAAUAAAACACCAGUAUCCCCACCUCAAACACCAGCAGAGGUGACGUGUUUAGUAUCUUAGCAGAACCCCAUUAACAAUGGAAAUACAGUUUAAAUAGGAACAUCAGUCAGUUUCAAAUUCCAUUUGAUUUCACACAGAAGUUAUACCAAGAUGCCCUGAAGUCCUCCUGGGCCCCACAUGAUUCUGGAGGAUUAUUGGGCUCCCAGAAGCCAACCGUACCUGAAUGGAUUCAGAUGGAUCCCAUCUGGAACCAUGAGCCAAAAUAAAUUCUCUCUUCCUUAAGUUGUCUUGGCCUUGGUGCAACAGAAAAGCGACUAAUACUGAAAUGAAGGAAGGUCUAGGAAGAUGCCUGGGGAUGACAUCAGUCCGAUGUGUGAAAUAAAAUAAGUGUUCGGCACUCUAAGUUAAUUUCUGAGGAACUCUUACCUUUCAUAAGCUGCACUGUGAGAAAUACACGUAAGAACAGGAGAGGGUUUAAGCAAUUUGUUGAAGUAGAAUUUUAAAUACUCAUAAUACCACAUUCUGCUUUUAUUUCAUGGUGUACACUUUUUAUAUUUUAAAAAAUAGGGACCUAGGAGACAGGCUGGCUCAUUCAGUUCAGCACAGAGAACUGAAUUCCGGUCCCCAGCAGCCAUGAAGAAUCAUGAGUAAGCCAUGUAUGACCUUACUCUAUCACUUCGGGCAAACACAGUGGCUCUCUGGAAUUUCCUGACCAGCCAGACUGGCUGAAUCAGUGAAAUCCAGGUUCUAUGAGAGACUCUGUCUCACAAACUAACAUGGACAGAAAUGGAUGCCUGAAAUCAAUCUCAGCCACUACACCCAUGCACAUGUACUGUCCAGAUAUGCAUAGAUAUAUUAUCAUAUAUAUAUACAGAUAACAUGCAAUGAAUAAAAUAUACUUAUCUUAAUAAACUUAAUUUUAUUCAAAGCAUGAAAUACACUAGGUGACUGCCAAUAGAGCGUUCCAGGUUUUAUUCACAUAUACUGUAUGGUGUUAGCGUUCCAGCAGUCAAUCUGGGUCACUCUGCCUGAGGCAUCAUCAAUCUAGGAAACCUCCACUAGUGGGAGAGAAGUGAAGAAACACCAGGAUUGUCUUGACCUUUGUUUUUCUUUCUCCUUUUGAUGCACAAGGCAAACAGUUUCCUGUCAGAGCUGGCACUGGGUAACCCAGCUGCAAAGAAUGUCUGAGCUAGGAUCUGUGCCAAAUGUUAAACUAAAUGCAAGAGAAAUGACAGAAAUCUGCAAAAUCUCGGCUUGGGCUGAAAUUAGUAGCUUGUGUUUCAGUUGAAUUAGAUAUAAUCAGAUAAUUCCAUAUUAAACUCAGAGAGAUUAGAAAUAAAUUCUGAUAUUUGUAAUAUUUUCUAUGUGAGAGAGAAACAUGGCUUUCCUACCAGUUUCUGAAUAGUAAGAGCUUUGUGGUAUGCAUGUGUGCAUAUGUGCAUGUGAGUAUGCAUGUAUAUGUACAUGUGUGUGCAUGUGCAUCCAUGUGAGUAUGCAUGUGUGUGCAUGUGAGUGUGCAUAUUUAUAUGUAUGUAUGUGCACACUGUCAAAUGUAUUAUUGUCAUGUAGGAUGAAGCUCAGUAUGUCAGCUGUGUAUCUGGUUCCUAUACUCAGGCACUCACAGAUGAUAAACGGCCUCUCUCUCCUCCAGGAGGCAUGCUUUCCUGAGGAGAGAAGAGGACACCCACUGAAAAGCAACUCUCACAGGCUUGUCAUGUCUCAGUGUGACAAAAAUUUCUCUGCCAUGUUACUCUAGAAGAGGGCACUUUGGCAAGUGGAAGUGUGCCGUGCUGGUAGAUUUUGCAUUCCAACUGAUAAUGACUUCAUUCCUCCCAUGGACAAAGUUCCAACAACAACAAAAUGGAGGUUUUUUUCUUUAUUUUUUAUUUUUUUUUACAUUUUCCAAACCAUACCAGAGAGUUUUGAUCGCCCUCCUUCAUUUGCUGCUGUGCUUGCUGUUCUAGUUUCAUUCUGUGGCUGUGAUAAAACACUCUUACCAAAAAUAUCCUGGAGGGCGGGGGGGGCUUUCACUUUACAUUUACAGGUCACAAUUUAUCACUGUGAGAAAUUAGGGCUGGAGCUCAUGGCAGGAACUGGAGCAAAGGUCACAAAGGAGUGUUUUUUUUAUGGGCUUGCUCCUAUGACUUACUCGGCCUGCUUUCUUAUACAACCCAGGACCACAUGCCCAGGGGUGACACCACUAGUGGUUACUGGUUUCUCUUCAUCGAUCAACAACAAGACAAUUACACACACACACACACACACACACACACACACACACACACACACAUGGCCACAGGCCAAUCUGAUCUCUGCAAUCCCUCAGUGGAGAAUCUCUCUUCUCAGGUGCCUGGCCACGCCCUUUCUGAGAACUUGGCAGUCCACUGGAGCUUUGGUUGAUGUUAACACCAGGGACACACUGCUGAAAAUGACAGAUACAUUCAAUCUAAAAUCAUAAAAGUGUAAUAGCUAGUUCUUCGAGACCAUAUCACAUGCCAAGAAGACGCAUUUAAGGACAGAUAACCUUCGAUGAAGAACCACUUAGCAUCUGAAAGUGCUCAUUACAUAGAGAACAAACCAUGCUUGUACUCCUGAGAAAUGAGCAAACCUGAGAAGAUCAGACAAACUGCUCACUAACAGAAGAACAGGUAAAGUUGGUCCUCAUAUUACCUAAGGUUUCCCGUGCUGUAUUAAUACAGUAAAGGGAGUGAGGAAAGGUCUUGGCUGGAACUAUUCACAUCUCUACCCCCCACAGACUUAUAGUGCAAGAUCCAUGUCCACAAAUGUUCAUCAAGUGCCGACCCAUUUGGAGCGAGGACUUCAUGAAGUAAGUACGAUUGUAGACCGAAACAGAAAGACAUUUGUGAGACACUCAGACAGCCUAACACCAUGGCAAAGUCAACUCACGAUGCAUAAAGGUGAUUUCCUGUUUUCUGAUCUACCCCUGAGGUCCAAGUGUACCCUGUCUUCAUGAUGGAGGCCCUGAAUGUGAAGAGCAUGUCAGUAAUGGAGCCUGCUGCCCUGUGAACCACAGGGCAUGUGCAUGACCCCAAGGACAGUGGUGCAAUGAAGCUGUCAUUGUGUGUAUGCCUGUGAUUCCAGAUCCUGAACUGAAGGACUGCUAAAAGCCAAGGCCAGCUUGGGCUACAGAGUGAGUUUAAGACUCGUCUGUGCUAUGUCAUAAAACUUUGGCAAAUGUGUAAUGAAAGGAAUAGUGAAGCAAGGCUGAAGGGAAAGACAGGAAGCAGGGAGAGAAGAGAAAGCACAAGGAAGAGGAACUAAAGAAAAUGACUGAGCGAGAGCCACGUCGUACUGAAAGAAGACAGACUUUGAGAAAGAAAGAAUUGGAGCAGAAAGUUAACAACAGUGGCAAAAUCAGGAAGAUGGGUGAUAAAUUGAUAGAUAACAGACAGACAAUACAGAUCAGGGAGCAAGAUAUAAUAGAUAGUAGAUGCAGAUAAGUGGAUGGUAAAGAUGAUAUAACAUGUAAUAUAAUAUAUAACAUAACAUAUUGUGUAAUACAUAAUAUAUAAUAUGCACAUAUAUUCAUAUAUACAAAUAUAAAUCUAUAUGUGUGUGUUUGUUUCUGUGUGAUUGUGUGAACAUGGCUGACCAUUUGGGAUUGGAUAUAAACGUAAAUAUGUAAUCAUAAUAAUUAAAGAAAAACAGGUCAUGAGUUUGAAAAGGAACGGUGAGGGACAGGGAGGAGUUGGAGAGGUGGGAGAGGGAAGGGUUGUAAUGAUGUAAAUAGAGUACUCAUGAAUGAAAUUCUCAAAAAUUUUAAAAUUUAAAUGAAAAAAUCAACAGAGAAGGGAAAUAAGAGUGGGCUGUAGAGGGAUGUUUGUAAUGAGAUAUUGAAUGUCCUUAGAUCCUCUACUGAAAUAACAUCAUCAAACUGCACAUAUAAGUGGAAUGGGAACCAGUAAAACUAUCCCCAAAUAAAGCUGGUCAGGGCCCACCAUUGCUGCACAUGGCUGAUAUCCUAGAGACGAAGGGCAAAUACAGCCUACCACUCAGUAGUUAGAGCUAGCCAUUACAACCAUUAAACCACCCUGUGUAGUCCAUACUCAAAGAGGGCACACAAGCUGCAGCACAGAACAAAGCUGAAGCAGCAGGCAGGAUGCCUAAGGCAGAAUCGGGUGUGGUGCAAGUCUAAAAAAUCUCCUGUAUUAAACCCCCGAUUUUACCUUGUUGUGUUAAACUUUAGCACUCCAUCGUUAGAGAUGGGCAAAGGCAUAAGAAGUAUGUGUGCUUAGGUAGCUAUAGCCAUGCCCUGAAUAGCAGACAAGCUCAAAAAAGGGUCAAGAGCAUCCGUGUGACAGGACCUCAUGGUGAAAUCUGCCAGACAGUCAGAGGAGGUGUGGCGGCCCCUCCUGCCUCUCAGGAAAAAUCAAGGUAAAUAAAGCAAAAUGUAAGAGAGAAAGGAAGAGCAGAGGUCUAAUGUCAGGAAAGAACAGGCUGAGCACACAGCCCCAGAGACAACAGAGGCUUAACCAGCACAGCGAACAGACCUGCUUGUAACUUAACUAAUUCCAUAACCCGGAGACAGAUCUUUCCCUUUCCUUUCAGUACCUAAGGAAAAGAUGUCAAUCUUGAAGACAUUAUGUCAGAAAGAGUUCAUUAAACUUUUGCAAGUGGAAACGGUCGGAAGCAGACUACACUCUCGACUCAUGUGAUGAAACUAACUUCAUGGGAUUUUACCACCUGGAGUCUCAAAGGAAGCCAAGGUAGAGAUUCAAGAGCAGCUGGAAAAUUGAUGUUCAGAAGCACAUUUCAUAUCAGAACCCACGUGAUGUGGCAAACACGGUGCUUGGAAGAAAUCCCGUCGCCUUGUAUAUUGUACAGAUAGCGUGAAUGAAAAGAAAUGGUGAAAGCAACAGACUGAAUGAUGGAAAAAAUCCACACAGCAAAGCAAAAGAAGCAAUGAACAAAAAAUAUACCAGAGACUCAACGCCCUCAUAGGCAGCACUUAGAGUCAUCAAAGACACGGGAAGCCAAAGGAAAGCAGUAAAAACACAAGACUCAGAAGUCAUGUGAAAUGGGCUGAAUGGAUGUGAGGACCUAUAAAGAAAUCUGAAGUUUUAAAACAAUGAACAAAAUAUAUUUAACCACGUAAAGAAGAUCAACACACAAGCUGAGAGAGGAGGAAGGGAAGGGAUAGAUACUGAGGGGAUGGAUGUGCCAGCAUUCAGCUUGAUAAGAGAAUUAGAAGCCUGCAUGUUUAAAAAGUAGAGGGUAAUUACCGCUAUUUGCAUACAACAAAAUUGCAUAUGAAAAAUGCAUGAGCACCAACCAACUAGAAACUGUCACAGAUGGAUAACCCUGUGAAGUGACUGAAAAGGCUGAAGGUAGGACUGGGCUGUCCACCUGUAGACAAACACCACUCUGGAAUCUGGAGUUUGGAUUCCAUUCCCAGUAGGGAAAAAAGGAAUGCACACGAGGAACUCUUGUAAGAGCCACAGGAGCACUAAACACACACCUUUGUUAACAGGAUGCUGGCUGAGUAGACGCAUCCCUUGAAGAUAAAUGCCUAGAACCCCAAGAUUACCAUUUGAGCCCAAGAAGUCCUAAAGAGGCUCAUGUACCUGGAUGUUUGGCCCAGCGGGAGUCACUGUCUGAGGGAGCCUAUGGAGCCCCCAGCACGUGAGGGCCUUGCUGAAAGAAUGGGUCACAAGGAGUCAGGCUUGACCCAUUCUAUCCAUAAGUCUGGUCCACCAAGGUGCAAGCAAGCAGUCGUCUGCUCCAAGUACCCUAUCUUAAAAACAAGCACCAGGCUCUCGUCUUUGGGCUUGCUGUUCUUCCGAAACAAUGCCUGCUUCUGAUUUCUUUGCUGUUAUUCCCUUCCCCUCUGGCUGAGUCUCCUUCCAGGCUCACCCAUGGCAUCACUCAGAGGUGAUCAAUUUUCUGUGACCUCAUCAUGGGGACAUGAGUAUGUACAUGACUCCAACUCCCUCCCUGACUCCAAGUUCCGGUCUCCCCUGCUGCCUGAGCAUCACCACCAAGGGCUUUGUAAGAUGACUCUGAGGUUGCAGGAAAACCUUGGCCACAAGGAUGAGAUGGAAUGAACAAGACAAGUAAGUUAAGUCACCCAUCUGGGGGAGAAGACUGAGAGCGGGGUCUAAAUAAGACAAAUGGAUUCUUGCAAGUGCUCUAUCUGAGUCUAGCCUUGGUCCACGAGUCCCUCCCCUACCCACCUACCCACCUACCAUACUGCCUCUCUGUUCGACCUGCAUGUGCGUUCCAAGUGGAAAGGAUCCCUAAGCACUAUAUCUCGUCUCUGCUUUGCUUAGACUCCUUUCCACUCUCCAUCCUCACAGGUAGCCUAACUCCAAGUACAACUCAGACUCCCAUUUACCUCCAUUCUCCUGUCUUCAUUAUCACACCCUGUCAUCAAUAACCGGAACCAACUUUUAAACAUACAUACACCUUCUCCUGCCUUCUCAUCCUGCUCUCCCUGACAAUGGAAGGAAUAUAAUCCUGACCUUCCUGACCCUGCAGGUAGCCAGUGCACCACUCUGCAUAUCCACUCCACUCAGAGACCUUCAGAGAUGCCAUGGGACCAUAUCCUCUGUCCUCCAAGGAUGCUGUGCUCAUCUAAGGCCCGACAUGAGGCUGUGACUUGAUGGUCACUUGAUGCACUUGCGAAGGCUUGGUCAUGCUGGGCAAGAUCACUGACAUUCUCCAAGCAGCUGCACUGUAAAGUCCUAGGACUUAGUUGGCUCUGGUCACUUCUUUUGCUGUCUUUUGUUCUUAUGGUGUUGGAGCUCGAUGUCUCUCCCCACUGGUCCUGUGUGGUAGGCAAGCUCCCUACUGUGCAUCACAACUCAAACGAUCACUGUUGUUGUUUUAAGAAUAUAUUUUCAACAACUUUAAAAAUAACUGGAUCUUGAGAAAUGAGAAGUUAAGCCAACAAGGAAAUACCUAGUCAGCAUCUAAAGCCAUUUACUCUGGCCACCAGAGGGCCCCCACAUUAAUCGUAACUCCUAAUCUGUAUUGAGAGAGCCAAGAAAUGAUCCUCUGAGUUUAGCAGGCUCAUUAGAAUGUGAGAUGCUUCCUACCCUAGGACAUGUGACUUGUAUAAAACUAUUUGAUUUGUUUCUCUCUUCGUCUAAUGCAAAGCCCCUUAAAAAUGUCCAGCACAUUCAUACGCACAAGCAAUUAAUCCCUAAAAUAAUGGCUACAGUUUAAUUAUCUUCAUUCAUACAUUGAUCAAAACCUUUACUACUCGCUCUUGGCUGUUCUUUGUAUGUGUGCCAUAAAACAAGUAUGUGAUAGAGCAGGUGCUUUAUUUUCAGAAUCAUGUGCUUCGCUGGAAAGUAGAUACUCAGAAGCCUGAAUGAAAGCAUGGAAUUAAUUUUCUUAUCAAAUUGGAAAUGAGUUUUUAAAGAGAUAAUGAUUAAUGUUGGGGGAUAAAGCAAAGAAUCAAUACUUUUGUACAUGUUGGAAAUGAAAUCUGAUGGUCUUAUGUAUUUGGAAGUGUGACUUGUUAAUUUUGCAGUCAUGUAAAAUGACUUUUUAACAAGCAGUGGCCUGUUGAGGAGCUCAAUAAAGAAAAAAGGCAAAGUUG